rnacentral:rRNA from 1 species
AGGAAUCAGCCAUCGGCUAACUCCGUGCCAGCAGCCGCCGGUAAGACGGAGGAUGCAAGCGUUCAUCCGGAAUGAUUGGGCGUAAAGCGCUCCGCAGGUGGCAGUUCAAGUCUGCUGCUCAAAGACCGGGGCUCAACCUCGGCAAAGGCAGUGGAAACUGAACAGCUAGACGUAUGGUAGGGGCAAAGGGAAUUCCCUGGUGUAGCGGUGAAAUGCGUAGAGAUCCAGGAAGAACAUCGGUGGCGAACGGCGCUUUGCUGGACCAUAACUGACACUCACGGGACGAAAGCUAGGGGAGCGCAAUGGGAUUAGAUACCCCAGUAGUCCUAGCCCGUAAACGAUGGAUACUAGGUCGUUGUCUGUAUCGACCCGGACAGUGCCGUAGCCUAACGCGUUAAGUAUCCCGCCCUGGGGAGUACGCACGCAAGUGUGAAACUCAACAGGAAUUGACGGGGGCCCCGCACAAGCGGUGGAGUAUGUGGUUUAAUUCGAUGCAACGCGAAGAACCUUACCAGGA